CUUCCGGUCGGCGCCGCCUGCGGAGGGCUCCGCGGCAGGCGGAGACGCGGGAGGCCAGCUAUGGCCGCGGAGGGGGCGAGCUGGGGUCUGGAUCUUGGAGGCUGACGAAAUGCGGUGACUGAGGAGAGGCGCCUCUGGUCGAGCUCUUGCCGUGUGUUCCGCACCUGCCUUUCCUGCCGCCGCCUCCCAUUAAGACAGGGCUUCGCCAUGUUGGUCAAGCUGGUCUUGAACUCCGGACUUCAGGUGAUCCACCUGCCUUGGACACCCAAAGUGUUGGGAUUACGGGAGUGAGCCCCCACGCCCGGCCGUAAUUGUUAAAUUUUAAAGUGGCUAGCAUUCUGGGUCAUCACUGUGCAGUAGAAGUAUAAGCCAGCCACUUAUACUUGGUCAGCGAGAUAUUGCAUCUCAAGUCGGACUGGCUACAUUUCAAGGGCUAAACCAUCACAUGUUGCCAGUGGCUGCUGCAUUAGACUGUGCCAUGCUGGAUGGUCCACUUACAACUGGAUUUUCUUCUACUGCUGCCACUCAUGAGACAAGACCAACCCCUCCUCUCCUGCCGCUGCCACCACCUACUCUGAGUGAUGAGGACGAAGAUGAAAACCAUUAUGAUCCACUUCCACUUAAUGGAUGAUGAAUGUAUUUUCUCUUUGUAAUGAUUUUUUUUUCCCUUGGAGACAAGG